rnacentral:misc_RNA from 1 species
AACGCAUAUUGCGCCCCUCGGCAUUCCGGGGGGCAUGCCUGUUCGAGCGUCAUUAUCAACCUUCAAGCGUCAGCUUGGUCUUGGGCGCUCGCCCCGCGAGGGGCGUGCCCGAAAGUCAGUGGCGGUCCGACGAGACUUCGAGCGCAGUAAAACAUCUCCCGCUCUGGAAGCUCCGCCCGGCCGGCCAACAUCACCGGGGCGUCCGCCCCUAACGUUUGACCUCGGAUCAGGUAGGGAUACCCGCUGAACUUAA